CGUAAAAUUUAGUUGGUUGCCAACAAACCUUCGGAGACUAGGACUUUCACUGAAGAUUUUACAGAUAAGACUGGAGUUGCCCGUUCAUUGGGAUAUUUGAUAGUGACGAAGGAAUGGAAGACGUCGAUAGAUGUGAGGAGCAGCUUAUUGAGUAUGCCAUUCGAGAGAGUAUUCGAGAUGUAUCAAUAGACAGCAUGCCAACAGUCAGUGGUGACUUUCUGAGGAUAGUGACUGCCAUCGAGCAAGGUGAUGUGUGUACCCUGCAGGAGCUGUCUGGGUUGCAGGCUUUCACAGAGAGGGACAGCAGAGGGUG